AGUGAACGCUGGCGGUAGGCCUAACACAUGCAAGUCGAACGGCAGCACAGUAAGAGCUUGCUCUUACGGGUGGCGAGUGGCGGACGGGUGCGGAAUACAUCGGAAUCUACUUUUUCGUGGGGGAUAACGUAGGGAAACUUACGCUAAUACCGCAUACGACCUACGGGUGAAAGCAGGGGAUCUUCGGACCUUGCGCGAUUGAAUGACCCGAUGUCGGAUUAGCUAGUUGGCGGGGUAAAGGCCCACCAAGGCGACGAUCCGUAGCUGGUCUGAGAGGAUGAUCAGCCACACUGGAACUGAGACACGGUCCAGACUCCUACGGGAGGCAGCAGUGGGGAAUAUUGGACAAUGGGCGCAAGCCUGAUCCAGCCAUACCGCGUGGGUGAAGAAGGCCUUCGGGUUGUAAAGCCCUUUUGGUGGGAAAGAAAAGCAGCAGGUUAAUACCCCGCUGUUCUGACGGUACCCAAAGAAUAAGCACCGGCUAACUUCGUG
rnacentral:rRNA from 1 species